rnacentral:lncRNA from 1 species
CUUAAGCAAUUCACAACUCUGACAAAUCCCAGAUAAGAACAUUGUUAAGCAGGGAUUACAUUAACAUAGGUUUUGCCUUAUCCAAUUAUUAUCUACAAGGAAUAACCUUCUGAGUAUACUGAUUUCCUAAUUUCACAUGACCAGAAUUCAUUAAUAAUAUAAAACCUUUUAUUUUGACAUCAUAGAACCCACCACCCCAACAAUCAGGGUAGUGGGAUCGCCAAGAACAGCAGAAAUCACAAACUGUAAAGCAAAUCCAGCCAUUUCCCAACAUUUUUGAACUUUCCUCAGAAAUCUCAUAAAUUUAAUUCACCACCACUUCAGAAAUCUCACGCCACCGCACCUCGUACAACUCACAGAUUGACGGACCUCGUUGCUUCACCUCGCAGAUUAACGCUGCUCGCACGCUACACCUUGCACAGAUUGAAGUCUCGCGUCGCCCCACCUCCCACAGCCGCUCCGGUGUGUGGUAAAGAGACGAUAGAGAUAAUAGAGAGAGACGAGAGAGGGAGAGGGAGAGGGAGGAGAUGGGUCUAUGUCUGGGUAGUGGGUAGAGUUUUUAAUUUUUGGUAAUUAGUUUAUUCAAAUAAGUAAUAAAAAAAUUCUGAUUUUUAUAAUGUUAAACUUUUUCUCUGAUUUUAGAAUUCUUGAUUUUAAUGCUAGGGUUUUGUGUAAUUUCCACUUUUUAAAAUUAACCCACAAACACCAAUUUAAUCCUAGAAUGUGAAACCCAUUUGGCCAUUCCAUUCAAAAUUCCAAAUCCAGUAACCCACCUAAUCAUACAUUCAUACCUCUUAGAAUCUCAAAUCUCAAAUCUCAUUUUCUUAUUGAUUUUGGAAAUGCCCAAGCCUGAAGCCUCUGCAAGCCAAAUUAUAGAAAGAAAAUGGUAUUGGUGGCAACCACAUUCCGAGGUAUUGUCAUUUCUGAUUCAUCACGUUUCAUCACUUCAUCUCCGAUUUCUCACCGGAAUUUUGAGGUAUCGAUGUAUUGUCAUUUUAUGCACAAUAAUAAAAUGCUAUAUUUUGUUGUUUGUACGAAAUUAUGAAGUUGAAUUUCUAUUAGCAAAAAAAAAAACUGCUUGAAUAAGUCACAAUAGGAACAUUUUCGGUUUUUACCAAAUUAGUGUCGACUGAAUGGAAAUGGGUACUGAAGACUAGAAGAGACUUUGGAUUUUGGGUGAUAAAUUAGUGGGAAUUUAUUUAGAAAAAUAAAUUCUUGUAAACAAGUUUUGAAAUACAAAUUAUACAAUUUAUUUAUACCGCUGCAUCUCUUCCUUAAUCUUGUAGAGAAGGUGUUUGUUGAAAUGACAUAUCAUUCUCAGAUUCUCUUAUUGCUUCUACACAUUAUUGUUUUUGUUAUUCAGUUUGAGAAUUGAGAUUGAGAUUCAUAUCUAAAGGGUUAGCCGGUUAGGUUAUUUAUGGUAUCAAUUUUGAUUAGGUUUAGAAUAAUAGUUUUGUAAGUAUAGUAUAUUUUACGUUUUUCAUGUUUUAUUAUUUUUUUUUAAAUCUAAUUGAAUAUGACUUUAUUCGUUUAUUUCGGUCGAUCAACUUACUAACUCUACGGUUACAAAUGGAACAUUGUCAAUCAUAUGGUGCUAAGAAGCGAAAAACAUUGUAGAUUCUGUUAUAGACGAGUUUUAUACAGUUAAAGUUCAACGGACACUUCUUCAGAAGGUAAUGUUGUAAUGAAAUUUUAUGCCGUAUACUUUAUAAAAAAAUUUGUAUAUAUAUUUUAAAUUUCAGCCCCCCAACAUAAUUUUCUGGGUUUGCCCCUGGAAAUAGAGUACAAGACAGGCUCUCUCUAUUUAUAUUUAUACAUCUAUAUGUAGACAAGCUACAUAGUAUACUACAUACUAAAACUGCUCCUCGGAAAGAGGAAAAUUAAGAAAGAAAAUAGUUGUGAAAACCACGUUUUUUGCUAGCUUUAUUAUGUAGUUCAAAACAUGGAUUUCCAUUUGUGACUAUAGCCAUAUAUCUCCAGCAUCUUUCGGCAACUUUUUAAGUGAGCCAUCGAGAUGAAGAGUCACGAGAGUAUCAGCGGACCCUAAGAGUUGUCCAUUGAUGAAAACAGCUGGGAUGGCAUAGCUGCACCCUAGCCUCAUCAGAGCCCACUCUAUUUCUUUUCCUCUCGAAUCCUUAUUGAGCUUGUAGAUCGUAGGACUCACGCCUUGCUCAUAAAAUAAUUUCUUGAUAGAAUGGCACAUGCAACAUGUACUUUUACUAGACAUCACCAUGGCUUUUUGUGAAGCCAGAUUUGCUAUGCGAUCCAUCAAAUUACACGAAAAGGAUUAGAGAAGAGGAAACGUGGCACGAGUAAUUUAACCAGUAUACAAUAAAGUUGUUAAAAAGGGGCUCUAGUUUGAUAGAAAAUACACGAUUUUCUUGAACAAAUUUAACGAAGAUGAAUUGUAUUAGACUUGGUUUGUCAUAUGAUAUGGUUUCACUACCUUAUGCAUAUAGAGGCAAGUGUUGAUGUUGGAAUACUUAUUUGAAUUGUUCUAUAAAUUUUAAAAAAAUGACAAAAGAUGAAGGUUCUUUCAGAUUCUUGGAUACAUGCUAAAUUUAACAAAUGACUCCUUGUUUGUGAUGACCUAUUUGGAUCAUUACAAGUUAUUUCUACUUGUAAUUGGAAUCUUUAAGGCUAUUCAGAUAAACCAGAUACAACUUAAAGCAUAUUCAUGUUCAACCAGAUUUUCGUCAUCAUUUUUUAUUUAUACAUAUAAUUUGUAAAUAGGUGAGGAGGCGCAUGGAGAAUGUCAACUAUGAUAGAUGAGAAUUUGGCACACACAUACACACACAUAUUGAUAGAGAAGAUGUGGGCUAAUUUGCGUCACUCUCUCAGCUUCUUGGUUGGACCACCAAGACUAGUGAUUUUCAACAAAUCUUUCUUCAUUUUUAGAGGAAAACGCAGCAAAAAUGCUUCAGGACAUUGCAGCAAAAGCAAUAUUUUUGUACUGGGUUCAGUAACAAAUCGUAGAGGCAAGUGUUGCAUUUUUUCAGUCGCAAGUGUAUGAUAUCGAAC